rnacentral:lncRNA from 1 species
UCAACAAACAGCAAUAAAGCUUCUUGAACUCUCACUUCUUUCUAGUUCCACAUCAGGACAUAAGGUCUUUUAAAAACAAUAUAAUACAGAGGACUAUUCUCUACCUUCUCAAUGUUUUCCAUCAUCACACCUUUAACUUCACAAACCUGGGCCUUCACCUUCGCAACCUAUGCGAAAUGGGUUACAGCGAUCAAAAUGAGGGUUUAAUCCCACAUCAAGCUGCUGCUAAAUCAAUUCAUCCAUUACUUUCUUUGAAUAUCCAAGUAGUUGUUUCAUUUUUCUUGCUUGUUGGUUCAAGAACAUCGGGUGUGCCAUUUUCCUUUUGCAUUAUUUGAUAAUUUGUUUCCAC